GGGGCUGUGGGGUAGCUUGGUAUCCUUCCAGCUAAGCCUUUUCUUUCUCUUUUUCAAAGAGAAAGAAAAUGACUUGCGAAAAGAAAGAGAAAUAGGCUGUUGCUUGCAACAGCCAUUAUGUAGGCUCUGGACUGGGGAUUCUAAACCAAACUGCUGGUGACCUGAGUUCAAAAGCCCUUUUCUUUUUCUAAGAAAAAGAACUGCCGACUUAUCAGUCGGCAUAGGCAAAUUGCUUUGCAAUUUGCCAUUUUUCUUCUCUGCAACGGCAUGAAAAUCUCAGCAGCCCCA
rnacentral:tRNA from 1 species